rnacentral:rRNA from 1 species
GACGAACGCUGGCGGCGCGCUUAACACAUGCAAGUCGAACGGUAAGGCCCUUCGGGGUACACGAGUGGCGAACGAGUGAGUAACACGUGGGUGAUCUGCCCUGCACUUCGGGAUAAGCCUGGGAAACUGGGUCUAAUACCGGAUAGGACCACUGCCUGCAUGGGUGGUGGUGGAAAGCUUUUGCGGUGUGGGAUGGGCCCGCGGCCUAUCAGCUUGUUGGUGGGGUGAUGGCCUACCAAGGCGACGACGGGUAGCCGGCCUGAGAGGGUGACCGGCCACCAUGGGACUGAGAUACGGCCCAGACUCCUACGGGAGGCAGCAGUGGGGAAUAUUGCACAAUGGGCGCAAGCCUGAUGCGGCGACGCCGCGUGAGGGAUGACGGCCUUCGGGUUGUAAACCUCUUUCAGCACCGACGAAGCGCAAGUGACGGUAGAUGCAGAAGAAGGACCGGCCAACUACGUGCCAGCCGCCGCAGUAA